rnacentral:rRNA from 1 species
CUACGGGAUGCAGCAGUCGAGAAUAGUCUACAAUGGACGAAAGUCUGAUAGUGCGACGCCGCGUGGAUGAAGAAGCAUUUCGGUGUGUAAAGUCCUUUUUUGUGUGAGCAAUGUUUUCCAGGUUAAUAGCUUGGAGAAAGCGAUAUUAACACAGGAAUAAGCUCCGGCUAACUCCGUGCCAGCAGCCGCGGUAACACGGGGGGAGCAAGCGUUGUCCGGAAUUACUAGGCGUAAAGGGUAAGUAGGCGGAAUGGUAAGUCAGAUGUUAAAGGCACCGGCUCAACCGGUGUAUGGCAUUUGAUACUGUAAUUCUAGAGUAAGGUGGGGGAAGACGGAAUUCCUGGUGUAGCGGUGGAAUGCGCAGAUAUCAGGAGGAACACCAGAGGCGCAGGCGGUCUUCUAUACCAUUACUGACGCUCAAUUACGAAGGUGUGGGUAUCAAACAGGAUUAGAUACCCGGGUAGUC